rnacentral:rRNA from 1 species
CUAAGAGCACAUGAUGAAUGCCUUGGUGCCAACAGGCUAAGAAGGACGUGAUAAGCUGCGAUAAGUCACGGUUAGCGGCAAAUACGCUAUAACCCGUGAAUCUCCGAAUGGGGUAACCCGGCUGGAUUAAUAUUCAGUCACCACUGUGUGAAUACAUAGCACAGUGCGAGCAAUACCUGGUGAAGUGAAACAUCUCAGUAACCAGAGGAAAAUAAAACGAAAGUGAUUCCGUAAGUAGUGGCGAGCGAAAGCGGAGAAGCCCAAACCUAGAAGCUUGCUUCUAGGGGUUGUAGGACCCCGACAUGGUAGUUAGGAGGUUAGGCGAAGCGUAUGGAAAAACGCUCCACAGAGGGUGACAGACCCGUAACCGAAAACCAAAUAACACCUAGGGAGUUCCUGAGUAAUGCGUCACACGUGAAACGACGCAUGAAUCCACGCCGACCACGGCGUAAGGCUAAAUACUAGUUGGCGACCGAUAGUGAACAAGUACCGCGAGGGAAAGGUGAAAAGAACCGCUGCGAGCGGAGUGAAAUAGUACCUGAAAUCAUGUGCUUACAAGGUGUCAGAGCCCGCAAGGGUGAUGGCGUGCCUUUUGCUUAAUGAGUCUGCGAGUUAGUGUUUGUGGCGAGUCUAAGCCCCUCUGGGGCGGAGGCGAAGCGAAAGCGAGUCCGAAAUGGGCGAAUAGCUGCGGGCACUAGACCCGAAGCCGAGGUGAUCUACCUAUGGCCAGGUUGAAGCGUCAGUAACAUGACGUGAAGGACCGAACCGAUGGGCGUUGAAAAGCCCCCGGAUGAGCUGUAGGUAGGAGCGAAAGACUAAUCAAACCCGGUGAUAGCUGGUUCUCCCCGAAAUCUAUUGAGGUAGAGCCUCGUAUGCUGACCUGCGGAGGUAGAGCACUGGAUGAACUAGGGCCCAUACCCGGGUACCGAAUUCAAUCAAACUCCGAAUGCCGCAGGGUGAAAUACGGGAGGCAGAAUGCGAGGGAUAAGCUUCGUAUUCGAGAGGGAAACAACCCAGACCAGCAGCUAAGGUGCCUAAAUAUUGCUAAGUGGAAAGGAUGUGGAGUUACUUAAACAGUGAGGAUGUUGGCUUAGAGGCAGCCAUCAUUUAAACAGUGCGUAAUAGCUGACUCAUCGAGUGAUUCUGCGCCGAUAAUGAUUGGCGAUAAGCAAUAUACCGAAGCUCUGGAUGCUAGUUUACUAGCGUGGUAGGGGAGCGUUCCCACCGCAUCGAAGCAGUCGGGUAACCGUAUUGUGGAGUGGUGGGAAGUGAGGAUGCAGACAUGAGUAGCGAUAAGACAGGUGUAAUCCCUGUCCGCCGUAAACCCAAGGUUUCCUGGGGAAGGUUCGUCCUCCCAGGGUUAGUCGGGUCCUAAGUCGAGGCCGAUGGGCGUAGACGAUGGUAAGCAGGUUUAAUAUUCCUGCACCGCCGAAAUUUAAACCAGAAUGACGCGGGGUUGGAGAAGAGCGGGGUGAUGAAUGUCCCCGUCGCGCAAGCGGAUGCUAAGGCUUCGGCCAAGGUAGAUUCUUUAAAAACUCCGCCUAGAAAAGCUCUGGCGUAUACUAAGGCGCCCGUACCGUAAACCGACACAGGUGGGUGGGCAUAAGUGUGCCAAGGCGCGUGAGUGAAACCUCGUUAAGGAACUCGGCAAUCUAGCCCCGUAACUUCGGAAGAAGGGGUGCCCAGAAAUGGGUCGCAGUGAAAUGGGUCAACCGACUGUUUAACAAAAACACAGCACUCUGCAAAGUUUUAUGACGACGUAUAGGGUGUGACACGUGACCAAUGCGGAAAGAUUACGGUAAGAGGUUAGCCGCAAGGCGAAGCUUCGAGCUCAAGUCCCCGUGAAUGUCGGCCGUAACUAUAACGGUCCUAAGGUAGCGAAAUUCCUUGUCGGGUAAGUUCCGACCUGCACGAAUCGUGUAACGAGUUGACCGCUGUCUCAACGAGGAGCUCAGCGAAGUUGUAGUGGCGGUGAAGAUGCCGCCUACCCGCAGUAGGACGGAAAGACCCUAUGCACCUUUACUGUACGCUGUCACUGUUGUUUCGAUUUUAUUGCUUAGAGUAAGUGGGAGGCUUUGACUCAUCUCUUUCGGGGGAUGAUGAGCCGCCAAUGAAACACCACCCUGUGAGAUUGGAACAUCUAACCUCGGCCCAUUAUCUGGGCGAGUGACACUGGCAGCCGGUCAGUUUGACUGGGGCGGUCUCCUCCUAAAGAGUAACGGAGGAGUACGAAGGUUGGCUCAACCUGGUUGAUAAUCAGGUGACGAGUAUAUGGAUAUAAGCCAGCUUAACUGCGAGACAUACAAGUCGAGCAGGUACGAAAGUAGGUCCAAGUGAUCCGGUGGUUUAAUGUGGAAUUGCCAUCGCUCAACGGACAAAAGGUACGCUAGGGAUAACAGGCUGAUCCUGCCCAAGAGCUCAUAUCGACGGCAGGGUUUGGCACCUCGAUGUCGGCUCAUCACAUCCUGGGGCUGGAGAAGGUCCCAAGGGUCCGGCUGUUCGCCGGUUAAAGUGGUACGCGAGCUGGGUUCAGAACGUCGCGAGACAGUUCGGUCCUUAUCCACUGUGGGCGCAGGAGAUUUGAGGGGUUCAAUCCUUAGUACGAGAGGACCGGGAUUGACAAACCUAUGGUGAUCCAGUUGUUUCGUCAGAAGCACCGCUGGGCAGCUAUGUUUGGAAAGGAUAAGCGCUGAAAGCAUCUAAGCGCCAAGCCUCUCCCAAGAUGAGAUCUCCCUGAAGAACCGUGGAAGACCACCACGUUGAUAGGUUGCAGGUGUAAGCGCAGUAAUGUGUUCAGCUUAGCAAUACUAAUGUUCGUUCGGCUUUUUU